UCCGGCAGGAGCUCCGCGGCCGGGAGAAGAAGUUGGAGAAGGAACUCCCGAGGUCGCGGGGAGUCCCGUCGGCAAAUACACCGCCCAGAUCAUCUUCAAACUUGGAUAAUGUCUACCACCUUAGUGGUGACACAUCAUCUGAGAAAAAAUACAGAGACAGCAGAACGUUUCCUCUUUUGUGGAUCUAACUUGUCAGAGAUUAUUGAAGAAACAGAAUAUAUUAAAAAGAUCCGUUCCACGCUAGCAAAAGUUCAGCCUCUGUUGUAUAAAAAGGAACUCAACCAUAGAAUUGCAAAUGGCAUCCUGGAUUCA